rnacentral:rRNA from 1 species
UACAGAGGGUGCGAGCGUUAAUCGGAAUUACUGGGCGUAAAGCGCACGUAGGUGGCGACGUAAGUCGGGUGUGAAAGCCCCGGGCUCAACCUGGGAAUUGCAUUCGAGACUGCAUUGCUGGAGUACGGAAGAGGAGGGCGGAAUUCCCGGUUUAGCGGUGAAAUGCGUAGAUAUCGGGAUGAACAUCAGUGGCGAAGGCGGCCCUCUGGUCCAGUACUGACACUCAAUUGCGAAAGCGUGGGGAGCAAACAGG